rnacentral:rRNA from 1 species
UGGCGGACGGGUGAGUAAUGUCUGGGAAACUGCCUGAUGGGGGGGGAUAACUACUGGAAACGGUAGCUAAUACCGCAUAACGUCGCAAGACCAAAGAGGGGACCUUCGGGCCUCUUGCCAUCGGAUGUGCCCAGAUGGGAUUAGCUAGUAGGUGGGGUAAUGGCUCACCUAGGCGACGAUCCCUAGCUGGUCUGAGAGGAUGACCAGCCACACUGGAACUGAGACACGGUCCAG